CACUGCUUCAUUGUUAUAAUAGUGAAGAAGUUUUUCCUAAUCUCCAAUCUAACCCUACUUUGCUGCAAAUUCAAGCCAUUGUUCUGCAUUCUGCUCUCUGCAGCAAGAGGGAAAAGGUGGAAAAUGUGUUUUCUC